UGUGACUGCAGCACCACGAUCACCACACACGGCCUGGCUGUAACACACUACAAACCAGUUUUCCUAAAGCUUGGGAGGCCAGAGGUCUGAAAUCAAGGUGUUGGUAGGGCCACACUGUCUCCAGAGUCUCGAGGGAGGGUCCUUCCUUGCAUCAUCCAGCUUCUGGUGGCUCCGGGUGUUCGUUGGCUUGUGGCUGGUGGCCGGUGUCCAACCUCAUCCCUGUCUUCACGUGACCUCUUCUCUGUGUUGCAAAUCUCCUCCUGCCUUUUCUCUUAUAAGGACACCUCUCCCUGGAUUUAGGGCCCACCUGGGUAAUCCAGGAUGAUCUCAUCUUGAGAUCCUUAAUUGGAUUACAUCUGCAAAGAGCAUUUUGCUAAAUAAGGGCACGUUCACGGUUCUGGGGAUUAGGAGUUGGACAGUCCUUUUGUGUGUGUGUGUGGGGGGGGGGCAGCUGUUAUCUAACUAACCCCAGAAUGGGAUAAACCACGGAGAUGGAAGAGGAUAAAGACACUCCAUGGAAUAUGAUUUACCACCUAAAAAUUCAGGGCAAGAGGCUGACGAAGGAGACAGAAGCAUUAACAGGGCACCCACCAUGUGCCAGGAACCGGGCCAAAGUGUUCCAUUCCUCAGACCCGUUAAUCCUCACGGAUACUUGGUGGAUUGGUUAUCUCCAUCUUCAGGAUGGAAAUAGAAGCUCGGAGAAGGCAAACAAGGAGCUCAAGCACCUACAGAAAUUGAACACAGGUCUGCUGUUUCCAGAGCCUGUGCUCUUUCUAGGAUAAAGGAAGCAUUUGCAGCCUCUUACUAGCAGCUGCGGGGAGAGGCCAACUCCAGAACAUCUAUUUUGCAACAGAGAAGCUGUCACUGCUCGUCCUAGGCCUCCCCCAGCCUGGCGUUCACCUGCUUCCUUUGGCAGCCGGGACCCAGGUGCUGGACAGCCCAGCUGGCCCGGAGCCUCCUGAGGCUGGGGGACGGAGGCAGAUUCUGGCUGGUUCAGAGGCAACGCCCCUUUUGGCGCCCUUGCCCACUUGGCACGGCAGAGGAGCCAGUCCCACAGAUAAAUAUUAGUGGGUUUGGAUUCCCUACUCCCACUGGUGCUGGGAUCAGAGCAACCCAGGCUGGAUUUUCUGAGAGAGGCUGGGCAGAGUGAGAGAAAGAGGAGGUUGCAGGGGGACAGACCUGGGUUCAAAUCUCAUUUUUCCCACUAAUGGGCUGUGUGACCAGAGGUGGGUUAUUUCAGCCCUCUGAGCCUCCGCUUCCUCGACAUUAGACCAAGGGUGAUAGGGCCCCUGGGUGGCUCAGUCGGUUAAGACUAAGGGUGAUAAUCACCACCUUCGCCAGACACACACAUCAUACAUCUUGAAUGGUGCCCACUGCAUAACAAACAGACUCUCGAAGUUCCUAGGUUGGCUGAAUGUGCAGAUUCCUGAGAUGCUUCCCUACACCAGGUUAGCCUCACUCCGUAGGGCCUGGUCGCUGCUGAACUCUGCAGUGGUAAAGCUGGGAUCUCACUGUCGGGUACCUUCUGUCAAAUGCAAAUGUGUCCAUCAAUGCUAAUGAACGGGGCAGAUCAAAAGAGGUUGUUAAAACUCUGCCUUUUGUUCCUUAUAAAGGGAAACGUAAACUUCCAACACGGAGCUUGCAGCCCAGAAAUUCCACUCCUAUGUAUCUACCCAAGAGAACUGAAAAUUACAUCCACACAAAGGAAUCUACACUAAUAUUCAUAGAAGCUUUAUUCAGAUUAGCCCGAAACUGGAGACAACCCAAUUGCCCAAUAAACAAACUGUGGUACAUCCACACAAUGGAAUAAUUCUCAGCAAUAAAAAAGAAUGAAUAUGGAUACAUGCAAAAAAAAAAAAAAACACGCUUGAAUCUCAAAAGCAUUCUGGGGGGUGAAAGAAGCCAGGUACAUACUGUAUGAAUCUAUUCAUGAGAUUCAAAAAAAGGUAAAACUAUAGCGAUAGAAAGCAGACCAGGGGUUGCCUGGGGUUGGGAUGGAGUAAUUGACUUCAAACAGACCUUCCUGAGGUGAUGAAAAUGUCCUCUCUCCAUUGUCAUGGGUGUUAACCUGACUAAUACGCCACAACUGAUCGAAUUGUACACUUGAGACGGGUGCAUUUUAUUAUGUGUCAAUUAUACCUCAAUAGCGUUUAUUUUUUAAAAAUCCGUCUCCGUCUCUAGGCCCUGCUCGCCUCUCUGUGCCUUCACUGUCAGGUGGCCUCUCCCCAGGUGGUGGCAGGGACGGACCUCAGUGACUGUCGCCCUUCAACUCAGCAACCUUAAGGGAAGAGACUUGUUCCUAUUUAAAGCUAGCGUAUGCGUUGUUAUUGAGCUAGCUGGGUCAUAUGACCUUCCCUGAACCAAUCACUGUCUGGGAGUGGUAGUGGAAUUGUCUCAUUGGUCAGGCCCGGGUCAUGUGCUAGAUCCCGGAAGUGGGGUUAGUCUUCCAAGGCCACGGCGCACCGAGGCAGAAGAGACAGAGCGCUCAUACCGGAAGGUGGAGGAAUGGACGGGCUGCGUAGACCUUACCUAGCUAUGACCUUUCUGGGACCCUGUCUCUCUUGCAGACCCCUCGUCUUCCAGAGUUAGAGAGAUCCGCCUCCGUCUCGCCUUCUGCCGGCUUGAGGUCGGAGAAAGGUGUUGCUGUCAGAAACACAACCUGCAUCUGAGGGAACCCAGCCUGAGAUCCAGACCUUAUGAGUCUUGGAUUUGUUGGUGGUAUUAACAUCAUACGUAAAAGAGCAAAAAAUUUGAGCAGACAGUUCACCAAAGAAGAUACACAAAUGGCUGAUCAGCUCCUGAAAAGAUGCUCAACAUCAUUAGCCCCCGGGGAAAUGCAAAUGAAAACCGUAAUAAGAUACCACCCUAUAGAAUGACUGCAUUAAAUAGAGUAUCCAGCGAUGACAAAAAUGUGGAGGCCACUAGAAUUUUCAUAUAUGGCAGGUGUCGAAGUCUACAACCAAAAGGAGUUUGGCACUUCUUCCAUAAAGUUAAAUCUGCACUGGACCGUAUGACUCAUCAGUUGCACUCUAGGUAUUUACUCAAGAUACAUGUAAACAUGUCAGUGGAAAGACUUGUACGCUGAUGUUCAUAGCAGCUUUAUUCAUAAUAGUUCUGGAAGCAACCCAAAAAUCCGUCUAUAGGUUAAUAGGUAAACUACUCGUGGGAUGUUACUUAACAAUGAAAAUGAGUUAACUAGUGAUAUAUGCAUUAAUAUGGAUGAAUUCCAAAGAAAUUAUGUGGAGGGAAAGAAGGCAGAUAUAAAUGAGAACAUACCAUGUAAUUCCAUUAAUGUGAAGUCUAGAACUGACAAAUCACAUCUAUAGUGUCUGAAGGGAAAUAAGUGGGGUUUUUUUUUCCUGUGGCUGAAGGUGUAGUAUUUAAUUCAUAUAAGGCCCAAGGGGGCUUUUGAGGAUGACGGAAAUGUUCUGUAGCUUGGUGAUGGUGAUGGCUAAACGAGUAUAUAAAUUUGUCGAAAGCCUUCAAAAUGUACAAUUAAAAUGAGUGCAUUUAAUUGUACAUAAAUUAUACCCAAUAAAGUUGAUUUUCAAAAAGACCUAAAAUUAGGUCUUUUGAAAGUCACAUGGUUAGGAAUUCUUGGGAGAUGGUGGAUGGUGAGGUAUAAAACCAGCUUCCAAGAAUUAGGGGGGAAAAAGUCCCUGAGCUGCCCAAGGUAAUUCAGGACCACAGACAGCCCCUAAGUGUCCAAUGAUGUAUCUAAUGCAGGUAAAGCCAGUAGCACAGAGCCUGGCAAGAGAGUUAAGCUCUUACUAAAAAGGCAGUUCAGAAAACCCUUUAAUGAAUGCCUACUAUGUGCCAAGUAUCACGUAAGACCCUAUUUAUAUGCAUUAUUUCAUUUUAUUCUCACCAGCCACUAUUAUUAUCGUCACUUUGCAUUUGAGAAAUCAAGCAUUUUCCUUAGUGCAAUUUUGUAAGGAAAAGGAAAGUGUGGAGAAACACACACACACACACACACACACACACACACACACACACACACACACUAAACUUUGCCAUGUUUCCUGAAAGGGGAAAGGGCAUUCUUGCUUCUCUUGUGUAAUCAUGUUCUGCUUCCAGGAUGUCUGAAGGCAGGGUAGUCAUCAGGCAAAGCAGCUGUAUGUGCCAGUGUGGAGGAACCACAGGUACACUUCCCCUAGCCUCUGGCAGAUUGUUUUUUACAUACAAAAUUACUUGUCAGGCAGACUUUUUUUUCCUCCCUUAGUUCUCAUAGGAUAGAAACAACAGUGUUAUAUAACAUGCAUCAGCAGCGUUGGUUUUGCAGAGCCUCUGACCAAGAUUGGGGGGUGGGCAGCAGCAAGGGAGAAGGUAGUUGUAGCUAAGGGAGCCUUGAAGGCUGGAGUUCAGGGCAGACUGCCGGGUGAGAGCAUGGGGCGGAGACGAACCCUUCGCCUUGGAGAUUGGGCAAAGGGACAAGCUGGGGAGCUCGAACCCGGGAUCCUUGCCCGCCCGCCUCUCCUCCAGUUCACACUGUUGCCCUGUGGUUCCACACCCAUCUCUUGCCUGAACUUUAGAAGUGACUUCCUAAGUCCUCUCCGUUCCAGCCUUUCCUUGGCUCAACCUUAGAGCUUUGUACACGUGUAUCAGAUUUUUUUUUUUUUACUCCAUUCUAUCAAAUGUAUGAAACAUUCUUCCCAACUGAACUUCCUCAUGUAGAGUCAGUCCUUCAUAAGCCUGAGGUGUCGUUCAAGAUCAGGGUCCUGAGUUCUUCACUGGCCUCCUUCCUUGCUUCUGUGCACCCUUGAUCCUCCUUCCACUGAACUGUUUGCAGGUCUCUGAAUACAUCAUGUUGUGCUGUAUUUUGCGUACAUAUUUCCCUCCACCUGCGGAUCCACCUCUCCAACUGCUAAAUGUCCUCAAAAAGCAAGAGCUCAGUUGUCAGUUUGUCCCAGAAUCUUCCUCAUCUCCCUUCCCCCAUUACCAUUCUGGCUGGAUGAGAGAUCCCUUUGUUGUUCUCUGACAGUAUCCCUAUUCCAGUCCCUUAUGCAAACUUGUACUUGGUAAUAUACACAUCUGUUUAAUCAUUCUGUACUUCGCUCUCUUUUCUCUAGUUCUCUUCCCUUCCUCCACUUCCUGCAGAGCAACUAGGGAUAAUUGUUUUAGGACCCCACUCUUACUAACACUGUUCCAGCUACCAUGGGUUUUGGGGUUGGGGAGGAGGCUUCUCCCACAUGCACCAUACUCCUACUGCCUCAGGGCCUUUGCAUGUGCUGUUCCUACUACCUGGGAUACUCUUAUCCUUCCCCAUAGUUUCCCAUCUCAUAGCUAACUCCCAUGCUUCCUUCAGAAUUCAGCUCAAGCAUUUCCCCCAGGACCCCCUCUUUGUGCUUUAAUGUCACCCUGCAUGUUUCUUUAAACACAUGUCCUAACCCUGUGAAAUUAUGUAUUUGCUGAUGUGAUCGUUUGCGAAUUCUCUUCCAGGCUAGGCUGUCAUAAGCUCCGCAGAGGUGGAGACCACAUGUCAUAUCUGUGUUGCCUACCACUGAAUUACUGGCAUCUGGCACAUAGUAGAGGCUCAAGAAAUUUUUAUUGAAUCGCUCAUUGGCUCUUUCUACCUCAUCCCCUCACGUUAGAGUAAAAAGUUCCUAAUAGUAAUCGUAAUGUCACAUAAUUCAGCUCACAAAUGACUUUGACAUGCAAUGCCUUCUAUAUUUCUGCUCGAACUCUCUGAGAUUGACAGCAUAGGGUUAUUACCCCAUUUUUCAGAAGAGAAGCUUAAGGCUCGGAGAGGUUAAGUGACUCAAGAAGGACACCCAGCUAUUCAGGAGCCUCUCUCUGUCUCCUGCUCUUGCCAUGCUCCCGACUCCAGCUUCUGUAAAUGGAAAAGAUAUGCCUGACCGAUUGGUCAGUGCCGUGGGUUCAUUUCCGUGACUCAUAGAGGAGGUUGCGAGGCUAAGGAGGGUGGUGUGUUUAGAGCCCAGAGAAAGCUACAGUAUAAUGCAGGCCCUUAUUACAUUACCCUUUGGAAGAUGAAUUGGAGCCGCCAGGCAUUUGCCUAAAUCAAUAAGCAGCAUGGCAUUAACUAGAGCGAGGUCCACUUCUCGUCCCCAAAAGAGGAGCAGUUGGCUAGAGGGACUAUGCACUAAUCCCACACACCUGUUCUUUGCCAGUGACCAUAAGCACAAAAGCUCCAUAAAAAGAAGGCAGACUGGAAGGAGUGCGCUGGGCUCUGGAGCCACACAGACCUGGUUUCAUAUCCUGGCCCUGACGGUUUCCGGCCCGGUGGCCUGGACCUCAGUCUUCCUAGUUGAGCAAAUGGGGAUCAUAAGCCGUUCCUCAUCCAUCAUCCCCCAUGGUUGUUGGCCUGCUUGAUUCUUUUCUCUCUUGAGUCCUAUUUCUUUUUUCAACUCCAUCUAUACAGUGUGCCCUGCAUCCCUCUGCUUCUGGGCACCACCUUGGUCCAGGCCACCAUCAUCUCCCUGCUGGUGGCCUGCAUUAGCCUCCUCCCAGGUUUCCUGAUUCCAGUCAGACCAUCCACCCGCAGAGUCCUCACUAUGCCCUGCGAGGCGUGCAUCAUCUGGUCUGUGCCUCCCUUUCUUGCUCAUCUACACCUCCCUGUGCCUUUCCUACUCAGUCACAAGUGCACUGGCCUCCUUUCCUUCCUCCAACACUUGACGCUUGUUCCCCACCCCAGUGCCUUUGCACUUGCUGCUACCACUGCUUGGUGUGCUAUUCGCUGUAAUGUUUGCAUGCCUCCUUGUCAUUCAUAUUUCAGCUCAAAUGCCACUUCUACAAAUGGUCUCUUUUUCUAAAAAAACUUCCUGCCUGGCCAGUUUGUUUCUUCUACAUCUGCCUGUUUAAAAUUUUUUUAUAGCAUUGAUCACAUUCCAAAUGAUCUCAUUCAUUUGCAUGUUUUCAUGUUUAUGGCCUGACUCCCUCAUUAGAACAUAAACUUCAAGAGAGAGGGAUCUGGCCUAUUUUUUUUUUUCCUGCUCUAUCACCAGUGCCUUACACAGUGUCUGAUGCAUAAAACAUCCCCAUAGAAUUUUUGAAUUAAAAAUAGCAAACAGUCACUGAGUAAAGAAAAGCUUCUUUUCCUUCUUCCUAUCAUGCUAAGGUCUGAGGAUGCUUAGAGGUGCGUUUCUGGUGCAGGUGAGCACUAACAUAGGAGUUUUAGAGUCAUAAGCAAACGUUGCUUGUCUUAAGCUGCCCCACUGGACUUCACAAGCCCACUUGCUAGAGCUGGCCUGAUUUUUCCACUACUUGGAGUGGGGAGCAGGUAUGGAAUCCUGAACAUCACUUCCAGGGACCCUCCAGCCCAGAAAUGGGCACCUUUGCUUCAUAGUGAGCAACAAGGGGCUUGUAGCAGAUAUGGGCCCUUCCUCCAUCCGUGUAUCCAUCCCGCCCUCUCUCCAUCCAGCCAACAGAUACAGUAAAACCUUGGUUUGCAAGCAUAAUUUGUUCCAGAAACAUGCUUGUAAUCCAAAGCGCUUGUAUGUCGAAGCGAAUUUCCCAUAAGAAAUAAUGGAAGUUGAGAUGAUUCGUUCCACAACCCAAAAAUACAAUACAAAUAUAAUAUACUGUAUAAUAUACACUAAUCUAUACAA